rnacentral:rRNA from 1 species
CCUACGGGAGGCAGCAGUGAGGAAUAUUGGUCAAUGGGCUUACGCCUGAACCAGCCAAGUCGCGUGAGGGAAGACUGCCCUAUGGGUUGUAAACCUCUUUUGUCAGGGAGCAACGCCGGCUACGUGUAGCCGGACUGAGAGUACCUGAAGAAAAAGCAUCGGCUAACUCAGUGCCAGAAGCCGCGGCAAUAAGGAGGAUGCGACGGUUAGCGGGAUUUAUUGGGUUUAAAGGGUGCGUAGGCGGAAUGCCAAGUCAGCGGUAAAAUCGCGGGGCUCAACCUCGCUCCGCCGUUGAAACUGGCGUUCUUGAGUGUGCGGGAAGUAUGCGGAAUGCGUGGUGUAGCGGUGAAAUGCUUAGAUAUCACGAAGAACUCCGAUUGCGAAGGCAGCUUACUAAACUGCCACUGACAUUGAUGCUCGAAGGUGUGGGUAUCGAACAGGAUUAGAUACCCUGGUAGUC